rnacentral:rRNA from 1 species
UACGGAGGGUGCUAGCGUUGUUCGGAAUUACUGGGCGUAAAGCGCCCGUAGGCGGCUUUGUAAGUCAGAGGUGAAAGCCCGGGGCUCAACCCCGGAAUUGCCUUUAAGACUGCAUCGCUAGAAUUGUGGAGAGGUAAGUGGAAUUCCGAGUGUAGAGGUGAAAUUCGUAGAUAUUCGGAAGAACACCAGUGGCGAAGGCGACUUACUGGACACAUAUUGACGCUGAGGUGCGAAAGCGUGGGGAGCAAACAGG